CUGUUCCAGCAUGACAAUGCCCCUGUGCACAUUGUCAUUAUCACAUGAAGACAUGUUUUGCCAAGGUUGGAG